UGGAGCUGAAGAAGCUCGAAUGUGUUUCUGGAACUGUUGAAGCCUGUGAUUUGCAGUUUGGAGAUCAUUUGAAUGAUCCAGUGCAUCGCUGUCUCAGAGAGGAUUCUGCGAGGCGGAGGCAGAGAGGAUCAGCCUUGUGGCGCGGAGGCUGACGUUCAACUCCUUUUUGCAGAUCAAAGCAACAAGAAAGAUUGAAACAUUGAGGCAAAUGCAGAAGGAGGGCUACCAUCUCACUACUACAGGCUGCCAACAUGUAUGGG